rnacentral:rRNA from 1 species
GACGAACGCUGGCGGCGUGCUUAACACAUGCAAGUCGAACGGAAAGGCCCUGCUUUUGUGGGGUGCUCGAGUGGCGAACGGGUGAGUAACACGUGAGUAACCUGCCCUUGACUUUGGGAUAACUUCAGGAAACAGGGGCUAAUACCGGAUAGGAGCUCCUGCUGCAUGGUGGGGGUUGGAAAGUUUCGGCGGUUGGGGAUGGACUAGCGGCUUAUCAGCUUGUUGGUGGGGUAGUGGCUUACCACGGUUUUGACGGGUAGCCGGCCUGAGAGGGUGACCGGCCACAUUGGGACUGAGAUACGGCCCAGACUCCUACGGGAGGCAGCAGUGGGGAAUGUUGCACAAUAGGCGGAAGCCUGUUGCGGUAACGCCGCGUGCGGGAUGACGGCUUUCGGGUUGUAAACCAAUUUCGCAUGUGACGAAGCGUGAGUGACGGUAAUGGGUAAAGAAGCACCGGCUAACUACGUG